rnacentral:piRNA from 1 species
UGAUGUUUAGGAAUGGUAUAAGCUUUACAA